GAUGAACGCUGGCGGCGUGCCUAAUACAUGCAAGUCGAGCGAACAGACGAGGAGCUUGCUCCUCUGACGUUAGCGGCGGACGGGUGAGUAACACGUGGAUAACCUACCUAUAAGACUGGGAUAACUUCGGGAAACCGGAGCUAAUACCGGAUAAUAUAUUGAACCGCAUGGUUCAAUAGUGAAAGACGGUUUUGCUGUCACUUAUAGAUGGAUCCGCGCCGCAUUAGCUAGUUGGUAAGGUAACGGCUUACCAAGGCGACGAUGCGUAGCCGACCUGAGGGGGUGAUCGGCCACACUGGAACUGAGACACGGUCCAGACUCCUACGGGAGGCAGCAGUAGGGAAUCUUCCGCAAUGGGCGAAAGCCUGACGGAGCAACGCCGCGUGAGUGAUGAAGGUCUUCGGAUCGUAAAACUCUGUUAUUAGGGAAGAACAAAUGUGUAAGUAACUAUGCACGUCUUGACGGUACCUAAUCAGAAAGCCACGGCUAACUACGU
rnacentral:rRNA from 1 species